AACGUGGUUAAUGAUGCUGAACUUUUUUUUCCCCGUCUUAUCGACUCUGGUGAAACCAGUCUGAAAAAUGUAAGCCAAUUUGUCUGAAACCACAUU
ensembl:snoRNA small nucleolar RNA, C/D box 12B